UGGGGAAUAUUGGACAAUGGGCGCAAGCCUGAUCCAGCCAUGCCGCGUGUGUGAAGAAGGCCUUAGGGUUGUAAAGCACUUUCAGUGGGGAGGAAGGGUGUUGUGUUAAUAGCACAGCAUUUUGACGUUACCCACAGAAGAAGCACCGGCUAACUCCGUGCCAGCAGCCGCGGUAAUACGGAGGGUGCAAGCGUUAAUCGGAAUUACUGGGCGUAAAGCGCACGCAGGCGGCUUUUUAAGUCGGAUGUGAAAGCCCCGGGCUCAACCUGGGAAUUGCAUCUGAUACUGGGAAGCUAGAGUAUGUGAGAGGGGGGUAGAAUUCCAAGUGUAGCGGUGAAAAUGCGUAGAGAUUUGGAGGAAUACCAGUGGCGAAGGCGGCCCCCUGGCACAAUACUGACGNUCCCAUGGGUCGCAGGAAAACGUCGGCUGGGGGAAAGG
rnacentral:rRNA from 1 species